GACCUGCACGAAUGGCGUAAUGAUGGCCAGGCUGUCUCCACCCGAGACUCAGUGAAAUUGAACUCGCUGUGAAGAUGCAGUGUACCCGCGGCAAGACGGAAAGACCCCGUGAACCUUUACUAUAGCUUGACACUGAACAUUGAGCCUUGAUGUGUAGGAUAGGUGGGAGGCUUUGAAGUGUGGACGCCAGUCUGCAUGGAGCCGGCCUUGAAAUACCACCCUUUAAUGUUUGAUGUUCUAACGUGGACCCGUGAUCCGGGUUGCGGACAGUGUCUGGUGGGUAGUUUGACUGGGGCGGUCUCCUCCUAAAGAGUAACGGAGGAGCACGAAGGUUGGCUAAUCCUGGUCGGACAUCAGGAGGUUAGUGCAAUGGCAUAAGCCAGCUUGACUGCGAGCGUGACGGCGCGAGCAGGUGCGAAAGCAGGUCAUAGUGAUCCGGUGGUUCUGAAUGGAAGGGCCAUCGCUCAACGGAUAAAAGGUACUCCGGGGAUAACAGGCUGAUACCGCCCAAGAGUUCAUAUCGACGGCGGUGUUUGGCACCUCGAUGUCGGCUCAUCACAUCCUGGGGCUGAAGUAGGUCCCAAGGGUAUGGCUGUUCGCCAUUUAAAGUGGUACGCGAGCUGGGUUUAGAACGUCGUGAGACAGUUCGGUCCCUAUCUGCCGUGGGCGCUGGAGAACUGAGGGGGGCUGCUCCUAGUACGAGAGGACCGGAGUGGACGCAUCACUGGUGUUCGGGUUGUCAUGCCAAUGGCACUGCCCGGUAGCUAAAUGCGGAAGAGAUAAGUGCUGAAAGCAUCUAAGCACGAAACUUGCCCCGAG
rnacentral:rRNA from 1 species